rnacentral:rRNA from 1 species
AGUGAACGCUGGCGGUAGGCCUAACACAUGCAAGUCGAACGGCAGCACAGUAAGAGCUUGCUCUUACGGGUGGCGAGUGGCGGACGGGUGAGGAAUACAUCGGAAUCUACUUUUUCGUGGGGGAUAACGUAGGGAAACUUACGCUAAUACCGCAUACGACCUACGGGUGAAAGCAGGGGAUCUUCGGACCUUGCGCGAUUGAAUGAGCCGAUGUCGGAUUAGCUAGUUGGCGGGGUAAAGGCCCACCAAGGCGACGAUCCGUAGCUGGUCUGAGAGGAUGAUCAGCCACAGUGUAAAUGAGAAACGGUCAAGACAGGGGCGGGAGGGAGAAGUGGGGAAGAAGGGACAAUGGGCCAAAGCCUGAUGCAGCAAUACGGCGUGGGUGAAGAAUGUCUUCGGGUUGGAAAGGACUUGCGUUGGGAAAGAAAACCAGCAGGUGAAGAGAACGAUGGGAUGAAGGUACCCAAAGAAUCAGGAAAGGCGAAGUGGGUG